rnacentral:lncRNA from 1 species
GGGAGAGGGAAAAAUCACUUGGGGGGACUUGAGUUAGAAGUAGAAAAUGAGGAUUCCAGCAGAUUCCUAGGAAAAUAUUGCCCUCCUGUUUCAAGUUCUAUCUUUGAUCCAGGGUGAGAGGAGCCUGUCUGCCAGUCUCCGAGGCUGCUGCUUUUUCCCCCUCCUCUCCCACCUCUAUUUUUUUCCCAACUUGCUUUAGGAUUAGCCUCCAUCCCUCUCGACCCCAAACAGUGGAAUUUUGGCUGUGCCUCCGGUCGUCUUGCUUUGCAAUAUCGCCUAGAGUUGUUGGCGGUUUUCUGCUAAGACUGAGCCAUUUGCUCCAGCCUCCGACUAAACUCAUUAAGUUGGGAGAUUUUUUUCAAUUGGACGGGUGUUUUUAAAGUCUCGUCUUUCCAGCCCCAAACAAGGUGUAACAACGCACUCUUCCUUCUAAGGAAUGAGAUGAGAGACAAGGAUCACUCCAGACAUCUCCUACCUACGGUUUGGGGGUUUUUUUCUUAAAGGCGAGGCUUGCAUUCCUCAGCAGUUAUGUACAAAGCUCCCUGAAACCUUGUCUCUCUAAAGUUAGUGUGCAGGGUUUUCCAAGGCUGGGAGCGCCUAAUACAUGGGGAAGCACUUCCUUGAGGUGGAAGAUCUCUCCCUUCACCUUUCCUCUUUUUCCCUGCAGGCUAGUGCCUACUUUUUAUCAGUUUGCACAAUCGCUUAGAUAAACACCGAGGAGGAGAUUCUCUUUAAUUAUCAAAGACACAUCUUUUCAGAGGGCCAACAAAGCGUUUAUUUCACCCGCCAAACUAAAGGAGAGUUAUUCCAGUUUAGAAGGAAGAUGCAAGCGGUUUGGGACCUUGAACAAGGCAAAUAUGGUUUUGGUAUGUUUACUUACAGUAUUUUUUUCCUCUUUCUGUCUUUUCUCCUUGUGCUGUGUGGGGUUGGGGAUGACUUGGGGCUUUUCAGAAAAUCGGUUUGCUAAUGUGUGUGAAAUGCCUAGGACUGUGGUUUAAGGGGUUUGGGGAAGGGGGAACAGAGUCAAUUCAGUGCAUUGCCAUAUUUUAUUACAUGUGUGUGGUAGAAGUGAUGGAAGGAGGAGAGGGGGAAAAUACAAUCGCAAAGCUGCCAAAAUAUGAUUAAACCAAAGCAUAAAGACUGCGGUGCCUUCCAUCUCCUUGUCCUGUCUUCUCAAACUCAUUUCUUUCUAUAGAGCAAACUGAAAACCGGUCCUAUGAGCCUGGUUUUCCAAGCAGCAGACGACUCGGUUUUCUAUCAAAGGAGCUGCUAGGCUCGCACCAAGUAUCAGAAUUUACUGUUCGAUUUGCUUCUGCGCUUCAUUUUGCAACCUUGUGCUACUGACAGCCAGGCAGGCAGGGAAGGAGGGAGGAAAACCCUGCGGAUCGCCCUCGGCCGCGGUUCGGGAAGGCGAGCGCUCGGUUAAGCUAAGAGGAGAAUCGCAAGGAGAAGGGUACUCACCAUCGGGCGGGGUGGUGGAGCUGACGUGCGGAUUUCAGGCAAACGUUUACCUUUUUGCUGUCUAUUGCAACCGCGCUGGGCAGACUUAAGAAGCAAUUCUGUGCUCUGUCCAAAACGUUCAGAGAAUGGUUCCUCAUUUUUAAAAAGGCAGCGAGAGAGACGACAGAGACAGAGAAAGAAAAAAAGAGAGAGAGAGAGAGGAGGGGGUGAGGGGGACGCACAUAAACCCAGUUCAAAAAAA